UGGGGAAUAUUGCACAAUGGGCGCAAGCCUGAUGCAGCCAUGCCGCGUGUAUGAAGAAGGCCUUCGGGUUGUAAAGCACUUUCAGCGGGGAGGAAGGCGAUAAGGUUAAUAACCUUGUCGAUUGACGUUACCCGCAGAAGAAGCACCGGCUAACUCCGUGCCAGCAGCCGCGGUAAUACGGAGGGUGCAAGCGUUAAUCGGAAUUACUGGGCGUAAAGCGCACGCAGGCGGUUUGUUAAGUCAGAUGUGAAAUCCCCGGGCUCAACCUGGGAACUGCAUCUGAUACUGGCAAGCUUGAGUCUCGUAGAGGGGGGUAGAAUUCCAGGUGUAGCGGUGAAAUGCGUAGAGAUCUGGAGGAAUACCGGUGGCGAAGGCGGCCCCUUGGACGAAGACUGACGCUCAGGUGCGAAAGCGUGGGGAGCAAACAGG
rnacentral:rRNA from 1 species